rnacentral:lncRNA from 1 species
UGUAACAGGUGGGACUGCCAACUUGAAGGGGGAGGGCAGGAUGGAAGAGUGGCUCUUUAGCUGCAUGCCCUCUUUGGAGAAGAUGAAAAAGACCUGUUUGUUCACUCUUCUGUCUUUGUCCCUAAGAUCUUGGAUGCAAGUCCCUGUCAAAGUCCCAGCUGACUUCUGAGAUCCUCUCACCACUGCAGAACAGGGACAGGGAGAGGAGAGAAAUUGGGGAUCUGUU